rnacentral:lncRNA from 1 species
GUUUUCUUUCUGAUAAUUAUCGUUUUUUCUUGCAUGAAUGCUCCCAUGCUGGGCUCAUUUUUUGCGGUUCGUUGUGGUUGGUCACAUGUUUUCCACUUGUCUUUUUGGCUGGAAUCUCUACUGCCUCAGCUGUUUUAGUCUUUUCGGGGUCCGCUAUCGCUUUAAUGUUUUUUGCGUCUUGCCAUUUCGGUGUCGCUUCGUACGCGUUGGGUCUUUGCGCUGGGGCCGUCGUGUUUCUCUGUUGUUGUCUGUCCGCCUGAUGUUCUUGUACUCUUUUUCUUGCCGAUCUCGCUGUUGAGCC